rnacentral:rRNA from 1 species
GCAUAUCAAUAAGCGGAAGAAAAGAAACCAACAGGGAUUACAUUAGUAACGGCGAGUGAAGCGGUAAAAGCUCAAAUUUGAAAUCCUUUCGAGGAAUUGUAAUUUGAAGGUGAUUUUUUUUUGAAAUUCGGCCCCAAGUCCAUUGGAAAAUGGCGCCAAAGAGGGUGAUAGCCCCGUUGGCCACAUAAUUCAUUUAUGAAAAGUCUCCAAAGAGUCGAGUUGUUUGGGAAUGCAGCUCUAAGUGGGUGGUAAAUUCCAUCUAAAGCUAAAUAUUGGCGAGAGACCGAUAGCGAACAAGUACAGUGAUGGAAAGAUGAAAAGCACUUUGAAAAGAGAGUGAAACAGUACGUGAAAUUGUUGAAAGGGAAGGGCUUGCAAGCAGACACAAUUUUCGGAUUGGGCCAGCAUCGGUUGCAAGGGGUGGAAAAAUGGAGGAGAAUGUGGCCCUAGGACUUUUGUCCCAGGGUGUUAUAGCUCUUUUAAAUACACCCACUGGCGACCGAGGACUGCGAUUUUUUCAAGGAUGCUGGCAUAAUGAUUGCAAGUCGCCCGUCUUGAAACACGGACCAAGGAGUCUAACGUCUAUGCGAGUAUUAGGGUGAAUAAAACCCCAUAGUGCGGAAUGAAAGUAAGAGGUUGGAACCCGAAAGGGCGCACAAUCGACCGACCCAGAAGUUUUUCGGACGGGUUUGAGUAGGAGCAUAGCUGUUGGGACCCGAAAGAUGGUGAACUAUACCUGGAUAGGGUGAAGCCAGAGGAAACUCUGGUGGAGGCUCGUAGCGGUUUCUGACGUGCAAAUCGAUCGUCGGAAUCUGGGUAUAGGGGCGAAAGACUAAUCGAACCAUCUGGUAGCUGGUUCCUGCC